rnacentral:piRNA from 1 species
UUUCAGGACAUGUUCUGUGCAGCUGGCAAC